rfam:Lactobacillus sp. ASF360 genomic scaffold acMPL-supercont1.2, whole genome shotgun sequence.
CAAAUUCGAAGAGGCGCAACUGACAAAAGUAGCAAUUAGGAGUUUAGGCGAAACUAUGAUGAAUUGCGAAAGGGGAGGUUGCCGAAGUGAUAAUAUGAGGCCAAGUAUUAUUUGCUGGGAUGCAAUUUAAGAGAUUGUAAACUGUCGCGAAAAUUAAGAUUCGCGGAGCGCUAUCGAUCAUA